UUAAGUUAGAAAGAACUAAUUUAAAUUUUAAUACUGAAGACAUUUCACUGUUGAUUGUGAAGUUGGAUAUAGAUAUUUUAUUCUAUACAUUUGUGGAUUAUAAAAUUUGACAUCACAGAAUGGAACGGGUUGCCUGAAUCAGCCAGGAAAACCAACGACGUAGCAGAGUUUACGUCUCUUAUCAACGACUAGAUUAACAUAUAGUAGAAGG